AUGGUUAAGAUAUUAUCAUAAACCGUGUCCGUAUCAUUGUUUGGCUAAGUACAUUUAUUGGCUAUAUAACGUUGCAGAACAUCAAGUUUUGCACUCCCAACAAACCAAAAAACAGAGCUAGCUAGCUAGACUAAAAUGGCAGAAACUGCAGUGUCCUUGGCUGGUCAGCAUGCGCUUCCAAAAAUAUUGGAAGCUGUCAAAAUGUUGAGAGAUCUCCCAAAAGAAGUUAGAGACAUUACAGAUGAACUUGAAAGCUUUCAAGAUUUCAUCAAUGAUGCUGAUAAAGUGGCUGAAGCUGAACAAGAUGAUGGAAGGCGUCAUAGAAAAAAAGAAAGGGUGAUGCGGCUGAGAGAAGCAGCUUUUCGCAUGGAAGAUGUCAUCGAUGAAUAUAACAUCUCCUGUGAGGAUAAGCAACCUGAUGAUCGUCGAUGUGCAGCUUUACUAUGUAAGGCUGUUGCCUUCAUCAAAACUCAAAUCCUUCUCCUUCAAAGUGCGUAUAAGAUUCAGGAUGUUAAAUCGCUUAUUCGUGCUGAAAGAGAUGGUUUCCAAAGCCAUUUUCCUUUAGAGCAAAGACCAACCAGUUCUAGAGGAAAUCAAGAUGUCACCUGGCAGAAACUUAGAAGGGAUCCUCUCUUUAUUGAGGAAGAUGAGGUUGUGGGGCUUGAUGGCCCUAGAGGUAUAUUGAAAAAUUGGUUGACAAAUGGAAGAGAAAAACGCACUGUCAUCUCUGUGGUGGGAAUUGCAGGGGUGGGAAAAACCACUCUUGCCAAGCAAGUUUAUGACCAGGUGCGUAACAAUUUCGAGUGCCAUGCGUUGAUCACAGUUUCUCAAUCCUUCUCUUCUGAAGGAUUGCUGAGGCAUAUGUUGAAUGAGCUUUGCAAAGAAAAAAAGGAGGACCCUCCCAAGGAUGUUUCUACCAUCGAGUCGUUGACAGAAGAAGUCAGAAACCGCUUGCGCAACAAGAGGUAUGUUGUCUUGUUUGAUGACGUAUGGAAUGGAAAAUUUUGGGAUCACAUUGAAUCUGCUGUAAUUGAUAAUAAAAAUGGAAGUAGGAUAUUAAUCACAACCAGGGAUGAGAUGGUUGCAGAAUAUUGUAGGAAAUCAUCAUUUGUUGAGGUGCAUAAGCUAGAAAAACCUUUAACUGAAGAAGAAUCUUUGAAAUUGUUCUGUAAGAAGGCAUUUCAGUAUAGUUCCGAUGGAGAUUGUCCAGAAGAACUUAAAGAUAUAUCUCUUGAAAUUGUUAGAAAGUGUAAAGGUUUACCUCUAGCAAUAGUGGCCAUUGGUGGUCUUUUGUCUCAAAAAGAUGAAAGUGCACCUGAAUGGGGACAGUUUAGUCGAGAUCUAAGUUUAGACUUGGAGAGGAAUUCUGAGUUAAAUAGUAUAACAAAAAUUUUAGGUUUAAGUUAUGAUGAUUUGCCGAUCAAUCUCAGAUCAUGUUUAUUGUAUUUCGGAAUGUAUCCAGAGGACUAUGAAGUUCAAUCUGAUAGAUUGAUUAGACAGUGGAUAGCUGAAGGGUUUGUCAAACAUGAAACCGGAAAAUCUUUGGAAGAAGUUGGGCAACAAUAUUUAUCAGGGUUGGUCCGUAGAAGUUUGGUGCAAGUAUCCUCAUUUAGAAUUGAUGGCAAAGUUAAAAGGUGUCGUGUUCACGACUUAAUACACGACAUGAUCCUUAGAAAAGUCAAGGAUACAGGAUUUUGUCAGUAUAUUGACGAGCCUGAUCAAUCUGUAUCAAGUAAGAUUGUUCGACGCCUGACAAUUGCAACCCAUGAUUUUAGUGGAAGUAUAGGAAGCUCACCCAUUCGGUCAAUUAUUAUUAGCACAGGAGAAGAUGAAGAAGUAUCUGAACACUUAGUAAACAAAAUCCCUACCAAUUACAUGCUAUUGAAGGUACUUGAUUUUGAAGGUUCUGAUUUACUUUAUGUUCCUGAAAAUUUGGGGAAUUUAUGCCACUUGAAGUAUUUAAGCUUCCGGUAUACAUGGAUUGAAAGUCUACCAAAAUCCAUUGGCAAGCUCCAGAAUUUAGAGACCUUGGAUAUAAGAAACACAAGUGUGUCUAAGAUGCCAGAGGAGAUUCGUAAGCUUACUAAGCUACGUCAUCUUCUGUCUUAUUAUACGGGUUUAAUUCAAUGGAAGGAUAUUGGAGGCAUGACAUCCCUACAAGAGAUACCUCCAGUGAUUAUAGAUGAUGAUGGAGUGGUCAUUAGAGAGGUUGGAAAGCUAAAGCAGUUAAGGAAACUGACAGUGAUAGAUUUUACGGGAAAACACAAAGAGACUCUGUGUUCCUUGAUAAAUGAGAUGCCACUCUUGGAGAAACUACGUAUUUAUACAGCUGAUGAGAGUGAAGUAAUUGAGUUGUACAUUACGUCACCUAUGUCUACACUUAGGAAGCUUGUCCUAUUUGGGAAGUUAACAAGGUUGCCAAAUUGGAUUUCACAGUCCCCAAAUCUUGUGCAACUGUAUUUGUACAACUCCAGGUUGACUAAUGAUGCAUUGAAAUCACUAAAAAAUAUGCCAAGGUUAAUGUACCUCUGUUUCGAUUACAAUGCUUAUGAAGGUGAAACUUUGCAUUUUCAAUGUGGAGGGUUUCUGAAACUAAAGCAACUAUUCCUCCAAAGUUUGGAUAAGUUGAAGUGCAUCCUUAUCGACAGAGGAGCACUGUGUUCUGUGGAAGAAAUUGGUUUAGAAGACCUCUCCCAACUCAAAACAGUUCCCUCUGGAAUUCAACACUUGGAGAAACUUAAAUAUCUCUUUAUCAGCAACAUGUCAACUGAAUUUGAGCAGCGCAUUGCUCCCGAUGGAGGAGAAGACCACUGGAUCAUCCAAGAUGUGCUCCAUGUACGUAUUUGGAGCAGGCAUGCUGAAGAACCUUCACAUAUAUUCGGCAUAAGUCAUCACUAAGAUGCGUCCAAAUUUGAAAAUAGAAGGAGGAGAAUAAAAAAUAUGACGAAAUUACAAGCGAAUUAGGGAGAGUUAUGCAUCUUCGUACUUCCAAGGCUGGGACCCAGCCAUUCACAUUAGGUGCAAGCACAAGGGCCACCUAAGAGGCAAGUAAAUCCUUCCUCUUUUUCUGGCUUACUUUGCUGAUUAUGUAUUCUAUAAGAUCUCAUUCAUUUGUUUCCUAAUCACAUUCUUUAUCGGAUUUACAUCAUUGAUAGCGGCAAGGUUCAUUAUAAGUUAUGAUUAUUUUUUUUAUAUAUUUUUUCUGGGCAGAUAGAAAUAUUUUGGACUGCACUUCUUAUCAUGGUUAGGACCAGGGAUAAUAAAUCUUGUUAUGCUAGCAGGGAAACUAGUUGGUGGAUUCAACAUUAGGAAAGGAAGUUGGGAAUGGAGAAUGAUACGUGCAGGAAAUUAAAGAGCUGGUUUUGAGGAUCAGUGACCUCCAGGAAGAAGAUAAAAUUCAGGAAAGGCUCAUUUCACUCAUGCAUCUACAAUUUAUUACAAUAUGUAUAUUUAUACUGAAAUUCCUUAACAGAAUUGGGAUUCUAUGCUAGGAAAUAUCCUAAACCAAAAACAGAAUUGGUUAUUGCUGCCCCCCUGCUGGACGACAUCAAUACUCUGCAAAUCCUCCUAUUGUCAUCUCAGCCACGAUCAUAUCACAUAAUCCUUCAGGUAUGACGAAUUUAAAGCAACCCAUGUUAGCCUUGGGCGACACACGUCCUAUGCUGGGAUCGGAUAAAUUAAAACUAGUGAUUUGUAUAUUGUGUUAGGGAGAGGUUCUCUGUGCUCCGAAGUGAGUGGAAAAAGUUCCAGUGAGGGGUGGAACUCCAAAUUUGAUUACAUCAGCAUGGGAAAUCAUGGUGAAACUCAGAACACAGCACAAAAGGAUAUGAGUCCUAUAUAUUAGGAACAAAACUUCAACCAUGUCAACUUAGCUCAUCAAUCCAUUAUGGUGGCCAGGACAUAUAUUCUUGUCCUAAGAGUACACAAGAUUCAGGAUACAACUCUUUGCUGUACAAGAAAGAUGGGGUUGAAGAUGAUUUAGGAAGUAACCUGUGGCAAGGGGGUCCCUGUUAUUAAGAUCACACUUGCCAAAGGAUAUGCUCCUUAAGGUAUACAAGUUUCUUAUAGCCUUAGCCAAAUGGUACUCUAGAUAUCUGAUUAAUAUUCCUUCCCUUCAACUUUUACGUGCUAAUCUGUCCAAGAAAUUGUCUGUUCUUUCUCCGGAGGAGUUAAGAGAUUUUGUUUGCUGUAAGAUAAUCAAGUUCCUCCUCAAGAUCCUGGCCCCUAUCCUCAAGAACUAAUUAUUGAGACAUAUACUCCUCCAGAUCCUGGCCUCUAUCCUCAAGAUCAGCCUAAACAAAAUUCAGUUCGAUUUACACCCACCCAGGUGAAUUCAGCUCUUGAUCUCAAUCAUAUACUGUCACUUUUCAUGCAUAAUGAUUUUUCUUUUAAUCUUUCUUUGCCCCCCUGCUUUCCUCACAAUAGUUGAAUAUGAGUAUUUGACCAAAAUCCAAUUGAUUCAUAUGGCUAAAUUGAUGCAUGUAGAAUGCAAAAAUACAAUGCUUGUGUUUCUUGAUCCAGUACAUAUUAAGUAUGUAGUGUAGUUAGCAUCACAAGUCAUGUCCUAUUUCCCUUUGUACUGUUGCCUCGUCAGUAAUAUGAAAUGAAUGAUUAGUGUGCCAUGAUAUAUUUUAAAAGUUUUGACAAGAAUAAGGAGUCCAUGAUUUUGUGACAAUGUAGAUUCAUGUUACCCUUAAAUUUGUUAAAGAAUAGGAUUGUGUUUACCAUUACUUGUUGAUGUUUUGCUGAUGGUUGUUUUAAAGAAAUUUCCAUUGUUAAUAUGCAAAGAAAUUGGAAAGUUCUUUUUGGCCAUGUUGGCUUUCUGUUUUCUUUGUACUUUCUGUCAGUGGGUGCAGUUGAGGAGAGCAAGGAAAAAAGCACUUGGUUCACACAUUUUAAAAAAUUGUGGGGCCUUCCUAUUCUUCCUUUCUCUCUAGCUGCAGUUCAACUGCAGGUUGAAGCAAUCAUCUCUGGCAUUCAGCCUGAUCUAAUUAUGGUUGUGGGGCCACCUGGUACAGGAAAGACUGAUCAACAAAGUGUAAUUAGGAACUAGUUUUAUUAUUAUUACAUGACAUUUACCUAUAGAAGACCGUAGGUACAAGUAAAUUGACUUUUACUUACAGUUAGAGAUUAUAGGUAUAAAUUAAUAUCUUUAACCUACACAUUUAGAAUAGUAGGUGUUACCUAUAGUGAUAGUUAAAUUUUGACUGUAGGUAAAAAUAUAUCUGUAAGUAAAGCCUAUAAUGACAGACUAUUAGUUAUCACUGUAUACCCCCUCAAAGUUGACGCAAAAAACGUCUGUAGGACAAAGUCCUUUAUACAUCUACCUACGGAUUUUGGACUUCUA